AGAAGAGAUAGAGUGCAAGGGAAUAUGCAGGAACGCAAGCGAGAUGCAGACAUAUAUGUAUUCUGAAACAAACGUUCGAUCAGGGUGCCGAUUGUUGCCAAUCAUACGUUGCCGCGGCGUUCCCCUCUGUCCGCGGUCGGCCGCGGAUUCAGUUCUGGAUUUUUACGCGAACUGACAACGACGUUGUGUCUUGAAUUCAUUCAAUAUCAAAACCUCGAGUAAAAUGUACGUUACAAUAAUUAUUGGGUAUUGUACUUAGUAAGAGCAGAAAAAUUGUAACGUUAUCAUCGCAAUUACUCGUUCGGGGUGCAUCAAAGAAGUGAACAGAAAACCCCGGUCAUCGACUGACGAUGACAGUAUCUAGUGGGGGUAACGUGGUGGGGUGUAUUUAUUGGUGUGAGAAGGGCUCGUACGUUUUUGCGGAAAAUGUUGGUACGGAGCUGCCGUUGGCAUGUGAUGAUUGAUGACGAUGGCUAACUCACCGGUGAGCCUAUGCGUGAGUCUCAAAUAUAUGUGCGUAUUCUCCCUGUAACCCCCCCCCCCUCUUCCGCCCCUUCCUCUCCUGGGUAUACUACAGUGAUUCGCACUCUCUAACUCCCAUUCGUAUUCGUGCUUCCUCUUAUGUGCUUAUCUUCGGUCUCUUUCUCUAUGCAUUUCAAUUAUUGAGCUUUCAUUACACCCAAACGAGUACACAAAUUAUAUCUGUGAGCAACGAGAGUGUGAUGGAAACAACCCAAUGAUUUCAAAAAAUUCAACUGACAUACGUGAUGUUUCGUUGCAAGAGAACACGAUUAAAGAGAAUAAGUUUGUGCAUAUUAAAUCGAAAAAAAAAACACAACAAACAUCUCUAGCAAAAGAGGUGAUGCGAUUAUAUAAAGGAUCUUGAACCUAACUGUCCGGUACUGCUUCGAUGCUUUCAAUGAGAUCAUCAUCGCUUACAUUGUGUCAUUAUUCAAUAAAUUUAUAAAAGGAUCUUUCAUCUUGUUGUUGUUGUUGUUGUUAUUGUUGUUGUUCCAUAUAAUAUGUAAGAAGACAAGAUUCUAAUCAACAGCCAGACUCUUGAGAAUAUUGUCUGAUAAGUGUUCAGAAGAUAUAAGGGUAUCCUCGUGAGAUCGGAUCCAAUCGUCGCUUAAUUAUUUAAUCGAACUCAAUCGCGAUUGAUGGGCAUUGAGGGUCGCCUAGAGGAUUUCGCUGAACAUAUGUACUUUAGUGACGCGUACAUAUUGCUCUUAAACACCCUAGAGAUUCUAAUCAAUGUUUAACUUAAGAUAAAUCGAGUGCAAUUUUAUAUG